rnacentral:rRNA from 1 species
GACGAACGCUGGCGGCGUGCUUAACACAUGCAAGUCGAGCGGUAAGGCCCUUUCGGGGGUACACGAGCGGCGAACGGGUGAGUAACACGUGGGUGACCUGCCCUCAGCUCUGGGAUAAGCCUGGGAAACCGGGUCUAAUACUGGAUGUGACUCCAUGACGCAUGUUGUGGGGUGGAAAGCCUUGUGUGGCUAGAGAUGGGCCCGCGGCCUAUCAGCUUGUUGGUGGGGUGAUGGCCUACCAAGGCGA